UCAUUCUCAAAUUGCAUGAAUUUUGCUUUUUGUUGACACAAAUACAUAUAAAUUCCCCAGAAUGUUUUCUCUCCACUUGAUUAUCAAAUAUCCAGUUGAAUUCAGUCACACUACACACGGGUCUUCAAUGAAAUAUUAGUCGAUUAUUGAAUACCAAACGGAUUGCGCCUCGGACAUCUUGAGACCUUGUUCUUCGUGGUGUAUGAACAUCCCUCGAGCAUUGCUAGACUACUUACCACGUAACAGCUUAAAUGCCUUUGUGACAUUUUUAUUAAUCGCUUCUACGUGUAAUUAAUCAGGCACAAGAUGACCAAAUAAUUUCAGCAGAUAAUUGGACAAAAU
rnacentral:lncRNA from 1 species